rnacentral:lncRNA from 1 species
AAUGAUAAUAGCAAAAUUCUAGUUGGCAUCUUGUUCAACUGUUCUACCACGCUAUACUCGUUAUGUUUUAUUAGCUUUAAAAAUUUACUAGCUUCACUAUCAUAGAUCGACUUCUGACAUUCUUUAUUGGGGACUGCUACAGGAUUACUUUGACUUUUUUUUUCUUCCCUAACCUUUGCUUUUCCUUUGUGAGCUUUCUUUAGUGUUUUAGGAUUGUAAC